rnacentral:lncRNA from 1 species
GAUAUAUAAAAUAAGGAUUGAAGAUCAAAAAAUAGAAUUAGCUUGAAAUUAAAAUAACAACUGGAUAUAUGAAAAGAAGGUCCUAGUUAAACCAUAAGAAUUGAGUUGUUGAGAUUGAGGAUCCCCUUAGCCUGGACUCCCAUAUAUACUAGGUCAUAAGAAGCUUCUUAAGAAGUUUCUAUGAAGCUUGAAAAUAAAGCAAGUCUAAGAUCC